UCUAAGGUUUGGCCAAAUAAAUUUGGGGAUUCAGUAAAUCCCUGAGGAAGUAUGGUCCAUCUGAGCUGUUGUUGCCUUCCUGUUUCAGGGUCUUCCCAUUCAAAGGUGAAGAGAGGAGAAAAUUCUGAGACCCUUCACUUAAUGGGCAGGCCCAGAAAGCAUCCUUCAAAUCUGUUACACUAUACCAUUUAAUUUUUCUCCUGACCCAUCCUGGAACCUUCAAAGAAGUUCCGAAUCCCUGGAACCCUCAAAGAGGUUCCGAAUCCCUGGCUGUGCCUGUGUCUGGAGGUGUCUUUCAAGUGGUUAACCCACCCACGAAUUCCUAGAGCAAUCACUUCAGUCCUUCACCGGCCAAGUCCCUCGCGGGAGAUCGGAACCGUGGUUAGAAGACCUCCACACUCGCUUAGGAACUAAGUUCCAUCUCAGUCACACCCUUACACACAGUCACACAACCGAAUCCUACCCCAGCUGAACAGUAUACUCACAAAUCCUCUUUGUUCAGGUCUUCGCACACAGAAUUACAGGUCAUAGAGGGAGAGUUCUUGGUUCUUUACUUGCCUCUUAUGUUCGAAAUCUUAUUGGACUCUAGUGCCGCUAUUGGCAAGGGCUUCCCUUAACCGGUCGCAGAUCUAAAGUCCAAGAAGAUCACGUUGGGGUCACCAAUUUGU